rnacentral:misc_RNA from 1 species
CUCCAGAUACUUGUGGAAAGCCUUUUGGAGGUUCUCAUCCAAAUCCGUGAAAUCAGGUCCUUCAUAAGCAAUCUGAUCCUCAGCAACAUUAGGAUCUUUGAUUGACAAAGUGUCAAUAGCAAUCUCAUCAGCAAAAGCUGUGAUACCAAACUCCAAAGCAGGUCCAUUUCUCUUAGACACCCUAACAACUAGAGGAAUAUUGGACUGAUUGGACCCUUCGUCAUCAUCCUCACCACCGUUGUCAUUCUCAUCUUCAUCACCGGUAACAAGGUCAGGCAUGUGAACUUCCACAUUUAUAGA